AAAUUGAAGAGUUUGAUCAUGGCUCAGAUUGAACGCUGGCGGCAGGCCUAACACAUGCAAGUCGAACGGUAACAGGAAGCAGCUUGCUGCUUCGCUGACGAGUGGCGGACGGGUGAGUAAUGUCUGGGAAGCUGCCUGAUGGAGGGGGAUAACUACUGGAAACGGUGGCUAAUACCGCAUAACGUCGCAAGACCAAAGAGGGGGACCUUCGGGCCUCUUGCCAUCAGAUGUGCCCAGAUGGGAUUAGCUUGUUGGUGAGGUAACGGCUCACCAAGGCGACGAUCCCUAGCUGGUCUGAGAGGAUGACCAGCCACACUGGAACUGAGACACGGUCCAGACUCCUACGGGAGGCAGCAGUGGGGAAUAUUGCACAAUGGGCGCAAGCCUGAUGCAGCCAUGCCGCGUGUAUGAAGAAGGCCUUCGGGUUGUAAAGUACUUUCAGCGGGGAGGAAGGUGUUGUGGUUAAUAACCGCAGCAAUUGACGUUACCCGCAGAAGAAGCACCGGCUAACUCCGUGCCAGCAGCCGCGGUAAUACGGAGGGUGCAAGCGUUAAUCGGAAUUACUGGGCGUAAAGCGCACGCAGGCGGUCUGUCAAGUCGGAUGUGAAAUCCCCGGGCUCAACCUGGGAACUGCAUUCGAAACUGGCAGGCUUGAGUCUUGUAGAGGGGGGUAGAAUUCCAGGUGUAGCGGUGAAAUGCGUAGAGAUCUGGAGGAAUACCGGUGGCGAAGGCGGCCCCCUGGACAAAGACUGACGCUCAGGUGCGAAAGCGUGGGGAGCAAACAGGAUUAGAUACCCUGGUAGUCCACGCCGUAAACGAUGUCUACUUGGAGGUUGUGCCCUUGAGGCGUGGCUUCCGGAGCUAACGCGUUAAGUAGACCGCCUGGGGAGUACGGCCGCAAGGUUAAAACUCAAAUGAAUUGACGGGGGCCCGCACAAGCGGUGGAGCAUGUGGUUUAAUUCGAUGCAACGCGAAGAACCUUACCUGGUCUUGACAUCCACGGAAGUUUUCAGAGAUGAGAAUGUGCCUUCGGGAACCGUGAGACAGGUGCUGCAUGGCUGUCGUCAGCUCGUGUUGUGAAAUGUUGGGUUAAGUCCCGCAACGAGCGCAACCCUUAUCCUUUGUUGCCAGCGGUUAGGCCGGGAACUCAAAGGAGACUGCCAGUGAUAAACUGGAGGAAGGUGGGGAUGACGUCAAGUCAUCAUGGCCCUUACGACCAGGGCUACACACGUGCUACAAUGGCGCAUACAAAGAGAAGCGACCUCGCGAGAGCAAGCGGACCUCAUAAAGUGCGUCGUAGUCCGGAUUGGAGUCUGCAACUCGACUCCAUGAAGUCGGAAUCGCUAGUAAUCGUGGAUCAGAAUGCCACGGUGAAUACGUUCCCGGGCCUUGUACACACCGCCCGUCACACCAUGGGAGUGGGUUGCAAAAGAAGUAGGUAGCUUAACCUUCGGGAGGGCGCUUACCACUUUGUGAUUCAUGACUGGGGUGAAGUCGUAACAAGGUAACCGUAGGGGAACCUGCGGUUGGAUCACCUCCUUACCUUAAAGAA
rnacentral:rRNA from 1 species